AUAAUUUUGUCAGAGGCUUAGCAAAAAAGCUUGUUCUAAAGACGGGGAAUAUGGUAAUGUAAGCGCGCAGUUUUGAUAUUUCUUUACAAGUUUCAUAUUGGAACAAUGAAACGGCCGGUCAACAGAACGGAUUGCUAGACAACACAAUGUGCGCAGGUGAUUUUCGUAAUCAGCGACCGCUUGCAUUCAGUCAGCUUGCCGAGUUUGCAAAACAAAAUUUCAGGGAAAACUUCUGGUCACCGUAAGCAGAUUUUCGUUUGCGUAGCAACGCUCAUUCGUUUACUUGCUUCGUUUCCGACUCAGCUUUCGCCUUAAGGAUGUUUAAGCUAAUUCUUUUGCGUUACUUAACCUUCACAAUGAUGAUUUUGCUCCCUCCGUGCACGUAUGGCAACAGCGGACUGCGAGAGCUUCUCCAAAUGUUCACUUCUCAACGUGUUUGGAUAUACGCCCAAAGCUACAAACAAUAUUACCGAGGUAGACCUGCAGGCUGUUUCGCCUAUAAUAAGGAGAUCCUAAGAAGAACAUUUUACGAUUUUUCUUUCGAUAUUGUAACUGAUGUGAAAACAUAUUACCUCGAAUACCAUGCGAGACUGGGAGUAGAUUCUCAAAUGAAUGCUUACAUGAGUAUAUAUGUGCACAGACAACAUAAUACGAAGUAUAUAACGUUCAAAGCUGGCUCCACAUUCAAGCUAUCGUGAACAAAUUAUUGUUGCGCAGAUCGGGGACCAUUUACGAAGACACUUAAACACUGGGACAACGUUAAACGUUGUGGAAUACUCACGCUUCAACUUCUUGGCCAAAAACACUGCGAACUCCUUGUGUGGAAUAGAAGAAUACGACAAGUUUAUGAACAGCAACAAAACUAUACUGACUGUCACAGCGAAUACAGAACGCACUGCAGCAACGCCUCUUUCUUGGUACAACUUCAUCGCAGUUGCCCGAAUUUCGUUAGUGCAGCUCCGCAUUGAAUAUAUUAAUAAAAUCGGUGU